UUCCAACACUGACUCCCACAACUCAUACUGCACCUACUACUAAAUCCACUACUUUGAAUUUGGAUGGGUGCUGGCAGGAGGGACUGAGGGGGAUCGGAGCGCUAAAAGGGGGCAUAAGGGAGAGGGAAGCUGAGACAGUCAGUACUUGCAGAACAGGUGCUUCUCUUUUAGAUGUGGAAAUUCAAGCCACUGAAAAAAAAUUUAGAAGAGACCUGUGGAACAGUGGACUUCUGGGCUGACCCAAGCACAGACUGUACACAUCAGACAAUUUGGAAAGCACCUGGCAGUCACUGUGGAGAAGGAUCUCUGAUUAGCUUGCUGCCGGUCCACUGAUGAUGCUCACCUGCAGGACUCAGCCCACCCAAUUUCUACCUGGAUCUUGUACUGGGGUGUGGGUGCCCCCCGCAGGAUUGCUUCCCCCAGGGGUCUGUGCUGAGGUACAAGAUCACCAGACUUACCUAGGGCAAAUGAAAGAAGUACAGCCAGGCAGGAUCUGAACUGUAUUGACCAGGGAAGUGAAAGUCAAAACUGUAGAGGUGGUUCCAAGCAUCAAGUUUGGUGAAGGAUGAGGUGAGAUGUCAACAGCAAGAUGCAUCAGCAGAGCAGAAGGAAGAAGGAAGCAGAACCCAAGGCAGCUUGAGGCAAGUUGACCAGAAGAGAGGAUAUGAAAUGGAUGGACGUGUCAGAGGUCCAUUUCUACUUGACGGAGACAAAUCCUCAAGGAGACAUUGUAAUUUCCUUUGAAAUAUUGGAAAGCAGCAAUCAUGUGGACUGUAGAGUAAGACGGGCCAGGAUGGAAUCCCAGUCAGGCUUCUCUGUGACCUAGAGCUCCUGCAGCCCAUUAACCUUCCUUUAAUUUUCUUUAACACUGGGAUAACAACCAGAAAGCCAUAGAGCUAUUGAGAGGAGCUAACACAGGUAAUCUGGCUCUAGGAAGACUCAAGGAUUACUUGUGGAAUUUAAACAAAGUGAACCAGAUCUUAAUCCCAGUGUAUUUUAAUUCCAAGUUUGGUUUGUUUCUCCCUGAUGAGUUACCACCAACCCCAAUGAGAUUGACAGAAAAUGCUCUUUGGUUACUUAUUCUUCCAAAUAUCCUUUCCUUCUCUUUAAAAAAUAUAAUAACACAUCUGGGAUAUAUUAUAUGGUGGUAUAUAUUUCAGUCUAUGUUUCUGCUAAUGCCUUAGUAAAUAGAAAACGCAUGAAUGUUGACUGCUCAAAUACAGUAGCCGCUAGUCAGCCUCAAGUGAGGCUGAAUAUGAAGUUAAACAUUGCAAGAGUAAAAAUAAGUGGGUCUAUCAAAAGUGGAACACUAUCCCCAGUAGUAUCUGAAUCACUUUUUAUAAUUAAGAUAAUGCUCUUAACCUCCUCCUACUGCUUAGAAUAAAGAAAGUUAUAAAAGUCUAUGAUGUUCUUAUUUAUAUCAAAGGAGAGUGUAUCAGUUAGCAACACUUCUGGAUGUUAAUAUCAGUACAUUUAACUGACAGUGGAUUAAACCAACAGAAGAGUAUUUUGUUAUUGU
rnacentral:lncRNA from 1 species